rnacentral:lncRNA from 1 species
GAAACACACAUCUGCUGGGAUUUUGGAGAGAUUUUCUCUCAUCAACCUAGCAAGUCAGCAGUGGAAAACGCGUCUGUCCGUAGGUGGCAGAACCCAGCAGGAGGUCAUCAGGAAGCUGACGGUCGGUG